UUCCAGGACAUACUGGUGAGGAUGUCAAAAAUGCAAUUGAGGCCCUCA
rfam:Influenza A virus (A/swine/Italy/636/87(H3N2)) partial ns1 gene for nonstructural protein 1 and partial ns2 gene for nonstructural protein 2, genomic RNA